rnacentral:rRNA from 1 species
GUAGGUGGCGAGCGUUAUCCGGAAUGAUUGGGCGUAAAGGGUGCGUAGGUGGCAGAUCAAGUCUGGAGUAAAAGGUAUGGGCUCAACCCGUACUGGCUCUGGAAACUGAUCAGCUAGAGAACAGAAGAGGACGGCGGAACUCCAUGUGUAGCGGUAAAAUGCGUAGAUAUAUGGAAGAACACCAGUGGCGAAGGCGGCUUGCUGGACGAUGACUGACGUUGAGGCUCGAAAGCGUGGGGAGCAAACAGGAUUAGAUACCCUGGUAGUCCACGCCGUAAACGAUGACUACUAGGUGUCGGGUGGCAGAGCCAUUCGGUGCCGCAGCAAACGCAAUAAGUAGUCCACCUGGGGAGUACGUUCGCAAGAAUGAAACUCAAAG